UGUCGUACGCUUAUCGUAAGUACUGCGUACCGUUUUAUCAAAGAAAUCGCAGCUAAGAUGUCGUAAGAUUUGUGCUUAAAGCUACGACUGGGUAAGACCACACUUAGCGUUCGUAAACAUGGCGGCCGCACGCGCUUUAAACGUUGGUCAACCAAGAGAGAUGAGAAUGUUUCGAGAAAGAAAGGAUUUAGCGAUCUCCGUGAUGGAGAAAUAUUGAUACUAUUGGACGUAUUUAUGUUUGAUAACGUUAAAUAUAUUCGUUAUAUCAUUCUCUGCAUUAAACGUCCAAGGGAAAUGAAACUUGUGAUGUUUGGAUAAUUAAUUCGUUAAAUAGGUUCAUUGAGAUUGUGUCAAAAUGGCUUGGGUCAACACACACGACGCCUCUGUCUUUGUCCGUGGUUUGAAGACUUUUCUGGAAGAAAACCACAAGAGACACCUACUGGGGGACUCCGGCUAUCAACAAUAGGUACAACAAUGCCCAGUCAAGUGUACUGUGGUUGAUAGGGCUUUUGGACUGCCAAAGAGUAGAUUUAGGUAUGUAAACUUACUACAUGUAUGUUUAUUUAGUUCAAAACAGUUAAACACAUUCAGUUAAUCAACAUAAGACACCAUUUAAUAAGCACAAAAUAAAUCUCCCCACAAAAUAUUGGAUAAAAAGUGUGAUGCUUUAUGCCUUUAAUAAUCUUUAGCGCAUAAUUGUAAUCGUCACAUCUACAUCAUAACAAUUUAGUAAACGUACACCGUGGAAAGCCGUAAGAAUUGCACCUGUUCGUCCUCUGUGUCUGUCUGUUCAUCUGUGGAUAGAUUGUGCAUAACAGCAACUGCUGAAUGACCUUAAUGUGUUAAUGAAUUGUAGCUGUACACAAAUGUGUAAUUAAAUUUGUUUUGUUAUUUGUUUUCAAGUUUUGAGCAUAUAUACACAAGUUGUUUGUACUGAAGAAAUUUGUCUUUUAA